ACCCCAUUCGUCUAGAGGCCUAGGACACCGCCCUUUCACGGCGGUAACAGGGGUUCGACUCCCCUAUGGGACGCCA
rnacentral:tRNA from 1 species